GUGAUGAUAUAUGGCCUCAAUAUGGCAUGGUCCCAUAACUAUCUGUACCUUGACCCACAAUUAUCUUACAUCCUGCAUACAACUUUGCUGUCUCUGGAGGAGAGCGCAUAUUAGUGCCCUGCACCAAGACCAUCUAUGUUACGGAGACAAUGCUGCCAACAAAUGUUCCUUCCCAAGAAAGACUCUGAAAACAGGCUGAUGUGUUGCACAACCUGGUCAGUAUGGCUUUGUUCACACUAUGUAGAAAAUCGUCCUAGUGUUCAAAAAGGAGGAUUUGAGGAAAGUCCAGUCACCUUUUUUUCUCUCUUCCUCAGCAACAAAACAUGUUGACUUUAAAGAUCAUUCAAAACCUAUCCUUUUGCAAGUCUAUUGUGGUGUGUGGAAUUGCCCAGCUGGAUUGAUGUUGCAAGAUAUUUGGAAAGCAAGUUCAAACAUUUACUUGAGAAUUGGAUUGUGGAAGGAAUUUCUUUUUUUUUUUUUUUCUUCUGUAUUUCAGUACUACUUGAACCAGUAAUAUAUGACCAUUAUUUGGCCUCCAAUUUAUUUUGAACUCAUUGAGGAUUUGUGGUAACCCUCACAGUAAUUUCUUAUUGUGUUUUGCAAAAGCCUUACCUCUGCUUUACAUAGUCAUUAUCAGGAUAACAAUAAUUGCUCUGACAGUCCACAGAGUGAGAAGGAGAUAGUAAGGAAGUUCUAAAAAGUAGCUUUAUUUCCCCGUCAUUCAAGAGAGCUAACUGCUUCAGAAUAAGGAAAGACUUACUGAAUAUAUUUUAUUAGCUUGCUGUGAACCAUCACAGAGAACUGAUUAUUUCUCAGGCCAGUCUACAAUAACCAAUCCCUCUGGCUUGUCUCCAGUAUUAUCUAGAAAAAUUUCUUCCUCAGGCAAGAUGUCCCAGUGUGAUUUACAGCCCAAUCUGGCUAUCCAGGCAGAUAUUCGGUCUCCUGAGUAAUAUGGAAAAAAAACUUCUCUCCUUUAUUCAGCUAAACUUCUUUUUGCAGAGGGAACUUUUUUAGGAGCACAAUUAGACUCUGUCCAAAACUUUUUAUGGUUUCCUCAAAUGGAGAUGCCAAAACACUCAGCACUGAUCAAGCAGUCUUCCCACUAAGGCCAAUGGGAUCAAAGUGAGCCUCUGAAAGAGGAGUUCCUGAAAACACACAUAUCCUGUUAGACAUCUAAGUGCUCUGGGCUAUAAAAGCAGCUAUUGUAGGCAGCUAUAAAUGUUUAGUAUUUGCAUUCUAAUAGCAUCCAAAAUGUGUCCUGCUGUGUCCACACCUUCAUGAAAUUGGGGUUAAAGGAAUUCAUUUUGGCAUUGUUUUAGUACUAUCAGAACUUCCCACUGAUUCUUUGAUUCAAAACAUUUACUUUUGCUACUACAGUAAAAAAUUUACUUAUGUAUAAAUAGGCUGUCUUGGGUUGACAUUUUGUAUUAUGAAUUUUAAUUGCCUAAUUUUUUGUUGUUGGUGGUGUUGUUUAAUUAUUUUAUAUUUCACAAUGCAGUUAAAGCUCUAUUGUUUGUGGAUUGUAAUGAAUGAAGAACUGGAAAUAAAAUUCCUUCAUUACUAGGAUGAAUAGAAACC
rnacentral:lncRNA from 1 species